GACCCCCUCUCUUCUUCUUUUCUUUUUCUCUCCCUUCUCUCUUUCUCUUCUCCCCCCUCACGCAUUCUCCAUUUCUACCGUAGCACCCCCAUCCUUUUUUUCACCUCCAUUUAUUUUCUUUCAUUUUCUAUAGCUUCAUCAUCCACUCGGCUCACCAUCAUCCUCACCGUUGCACGCCGUCCGCUCAAGCUGAGCGCCCUUGGCCUUGAGCUCAACUUCAACGAACCGUAGCUGUUCGAGUUGUGAGCCUUGUAAUUUCAUCGCCAUCGUGCUGCCAUCGUUGGGAGUUCUUCAAUCCACAAAUUAAGGAAAUGUUGAUAUUCAGUAAAUGAUGGGAAAUAUGCUUAGGAUGCAUGUGGGUGUACUUUUCUUCUAAUCGGGAUUUAGGGGAUGGACUCGCUGAGACGUUGUCUCACCCCGUUGUGGGCUAAAUUUUUCAACUCCCUAGAUGGAAGACUGUCAAGUCUGAUGCAGAGGGUGGUAGGAAGUGAAGUAUGAGUUUUUCUGUAGCCCUUCCAGAUGUUGACGAGUCUUUCGUCUGAUUUGGAUAAUGGGUGACAGCUCACCCAAGACUAUUGAAAAGUCUAGCGGGGUCGUAGGGAGGGAUUUGAUCCCAUGGAUGAGGAGCUCGGUGUGUAGAUAACCUAGUAGCUCUUCUUUUUUAUAUAGACCCCUGUUACUUUUAUGUACAUAAACACUAUUGUAAAAAUAUGUGUGUUUUAUGAAAGCAUAAUUCCACGUUUGCUAUCC